UUUCUCUCUUUCCUCUCUCUCGUCUAUUUUCCAUUUCUUUUCUCCUUCCUUUGUUUCCUCUUGUCGUUUGUUCUCUUGUAGCAGUCGAAAGGGAGGAUUGAAAACAAACAGGAGAAGAGGAAAGAAAAGA
rnacentral:ribozyme from 13 species